GUCUAACCCGGAAGCCUAGUAUGACUACAUCUCCCCGGAAAAACUUGCCUCGUACUUCUCUCUUCUUCUCGGUCCAGAUACUAUCUCUGGGGGCCGUAGACAAAACCUACAAUUGCAUGUGCUGCGAGUUUAAACCAUCAGUCUGGUAAAGUCUGAGCUUCGUCGUUUCUGCCCAACACAUGGAUUUGAUGCAGCCAGCUUGUAAAGGGCGUUCCUCUUGUUACCUGUACUGCUGUUUGUUUCGUCAAAUGAAGAAACAUGAACAACUAAAGUUUAUCGUGUAUGUUCGCGUAGUUGCUGUCCGCUGUGGUACGAUAUUGCAGCCUAUGCUGGUGAUAGAUCUUUCUGCAUCAAAUUAAACUGGCCGUUCCUUGGUGCUGGUGUCAUGUUACCGAAGUUGCAUCAUUAUUUUGUUAAAUUGUCAUUGUGACUAUGCAGUUUACCGUUUAUAAGUCGGGGAGCAACAAAAAGAAAUAUGGGGAUGUUUAUGUCAAACAAAUAAUAAACAUGUUUUCGGGAUUGGGAAAGGAAAGUGGAGGAUGUUGGUGGGGGGAUAUUUCAAGUUUGGAUAAAAAACAGUUAAUUUAUAACCCUACAAGCAUAUCCCUACCAAUUAAUCUCCAAACCCCACAAACUUAUACCUUCCAAUUCUUCAGACCUCACAAUCAUACACCUACAAACCCUCAAAUUUAUAACCUAAACCACAUAAACCAAUGAUAAACCCUAUGUCUGUAAUAAAUAAAAAAUUUAAUACAUCAAAAUUAAACAAAU